UGGGGAAUAUUGCACAAUGGGGGAAACCCUGAUGCAGCGACGCCGCGUGAGCGAAGAAGGUUUUCGAAUCGUAAAGCUCUGUCCUAUGGGAAGAUAAUGACGGUACCAUAGGAGGAAGCCCCGGCUAACUACGUGCCAGCAGCCGCGGUAAUACGUAGGGGGCAAGCGUUGUCCGGAAUCACUGGGCGUAAAGGGUUCGCAGGCGGAAAUGCAAGUCAGUUGCGAAAGGCAGAGGCUCAACCUCUGUAAGCAAUUGAAACUGUAUUUCUUGAGAUGUGGAGAGGCAAGUGGAAUUCCUAGUGUAGCGGUGAAAUGCGUAGAUAUUAGGAAGAAUACCGGUGGCGAAGGCGACUUGCUGGACACAAACUGACGCUGAGGAACGAAAGCGUGGGUAGCAAACAGG
rnacentral:rRNA from 1 species